GGGUCUGAGAGCCCUUUUAUUUAUACUGUAAAAAUGAGUGAUAAGCUCACUAUUAGGUUUAGAAACUAACUGGAACAAAUUCUGUCUUAGUCUGAGAAAAAUAUAUUGGAACACAGGAGUUUGGUUCCAGAUACAGAUCUAUAAGAAAUAGAAGGCAUUGAUUUUACCUGGUAUGGUAGGGAGACAAAGAAAUGUUUAAUCAGUGUUUGUUGAAUGAAUGAAUGAAUGAGUGAUGUCAAAAAUUAAGUGCAAAGAUUUAUUCGUUUAUAGAAAUAAAUGAUCUACCAUCUAAUGAAUUAAAGGUGAGAGACAUAGAUGAAUCUUGAAUUUUAUUUCAGUCAUGGAAGAAUUAAGUAAUAAGAUUAAUGUGUAAGAGAGUGUUAUCAGUGGGUAGAAUCUGGGAGAGAAAUAGGUGGCCUGGAAUCCAGUCACUGUAUUUAUAAGAAGUAAGAGAUAAUGAAAAUAGAAAACAACAGGCAUGGAGAGGAAGGCAGACAUGCAAAAGAUGCUGCAAAGGCAGAGCCAGUGGGUUUUUGAGUUGGUUUGAUGUGGUUUCUGGGUGAAUUUGGAGGCAUAGCUAAGAUCCAAGAUCCAAGUGUUAGUGAUUAUGAGAGUGGGGGCUCUAUUACCAAAAUCACAGCAAAGUAGAGGAGGAAUGGAUUUAACUAGACCAGCAUUUAGUUACUGAGAAAAGGGAAAAGAGUGAGUUCAGUUGAGGACACAAUGAGUUUUAAAUAGCCAUUUAGUAAGAUGACCAAAGAUAAUUUGUAAUAAGGCUGUGUGAUCUGUGAGAGACUAAAACAAUGAAAAUCACCAAGAAUCAACUCCGGAGGAAACCAAAGACACUUUGGGGAGCUGGAGAUUAAAAUUAAGGAGUAGUUAUAGAAGAACGAGAAAUCCAUACUGUCCUAUAGGUCAAAGCAGCAAAUAGAAGGAAGCAGUUCAACAUUUUCCAAGGCAAUCCAUUAACUUGUUUGCCCAUAAUGCAGGUUUUGUGAAAUCGUAGGAGACAAGUCCAGGUUGUAAUGGACUAGGAAGUGGUAGGUGCUGGCAUGAACCUGGUAUGUAUAGACUGCUCUUUUGAAAGUGUGCUGUGAGUCAAUAGUUGGACAAAGUAUGCAGUGAGCUAAAUGGGAGAUACUGUUCAAGAAAUGUGAAAUAUGCAGGAGUAGGAUUUAUAUCUUAGCUAUUGUAUAUCUCCUGUGGAGCUUUGCAGUUCUUGGCACAGAGAAGUCUCUUAAUAAAUAAAUGUUGAAUUAAUAAAUAAGUGAGCAAGAAGGCCAGCUGGAGAGCUACUUAUUUUCCUAGCCAGAAUCCUGAAACCUUGUCCUUGCAACUGUUUCAGGAAUGGAUAGCAUAUGCAGAAUAUCUAAUUGCACUGUGACUCUCACUUGUUCUAAAAUCCCUGACGAGUACAUACACGUAGAGGAAAUGUGAAUUCAUGCUUAGGCACAACUUUAAGCAAAUAAAAAUUAGUCAUAUAGUUAAACACAAUACCAAAUCUUUUUGUUUUGUUUUGGACUGAAUUAGAUUCAUUUUUACGCGUUGCUUCUGACGCAUGAAUAUUUAUCACCGGAGGUUUGUAUACAUCUGCUUUGAUCAGAACAUUACAAAAAUGCCAUGUCCUGAAAUAAAGGAAUUGCUCUAAAAUGUAGAGAUGUACUUACUGUUACACUAUCCAUCAAUAGCUUAACUAGCUUCCUUUGAAUAAUAGCAUCAUUAGUCUACUGCUCUGUUGCUCAAAUGACCAGUUACAGAGCACAGCCAACUGUUGUAUUUUCAAGGAAUCAAGAGUAUUUACAUUUUUAUUGAGCAAACGGUGACCUUGGGUAACUGAUGAUCUGAAAAGUGUUUUGUAGUCAGCAACAACAAAAUUAUUUCGUAUACAGAUUUACAUAGACUAUGAUUUGAUAUUUUAGUCCAAUAUGCUAGGUUUUGUCAUUAUUCUAUUACUUCUCAUGCCAUAUGCUGUAUGUAUAUGUUGAGCAUGUUUUGAAAUGUCUCCGACAUUUUUAUUAGACCUAGACUUCAAUUUUGAGAAGUUAAACUACUAGUAGUAAUAAAUGUCAAUGUAAAAUGCCAUAAACUGCUUUUGAAAUGUAUUAAACUUAAAUGUCAAAGGUGACAUGCUAGCAUAUUCUAGAAAUAAGAUUUAUAUUAAAUGUUUUUAAAACAUUAUUGUCAAGAUAUUUAGACAAAUGUGAGCAUAUUAGUUUGGUCAGGCUGCCAUAACAAAUUACCACAGCCUGGGUAGAAAUUUAUUUAGUCAUGGUUUUAGAUGCUAGAAGUCUAAGAUCAAGGUGUCUGCAGGUUUGGUUUCUUCUGAGACUUCUCUAUUUGGAUUGCAGAUAGACCUCUUCUCUGUGACCUUUCCUCUCUGUGCAUCCCUGAUGUCUCUCUAUAUGGGCUUAUCUCCUUUUCUUAUAAAGAUAUCAAUCAGAUUGGAUUAGGGACUACACUUAGGGCUUCAUUUUAACCUAAUCAUCUCUUUCAAAGCCCCAUUCCAAAUAAAGUUACAUUCUGAGAUACUGGGGAUUAGGGCUACAACAUACGAAUUCCAGGGGAGCACAAUUCCACCCAUAAAAUACACAUCUAGUAAACACAUUGUAGACAAAGAGACCUUGUAUAGUAGUGAUUUAAGAAUUAGACUUAUCAUUAGAUUAUUUGGAUUCUAGUCCCCAGAUAUGCCAGGAUAUCAGAGUCAAAAGAUUUUUGGAAAAUUAAGUUGAAUUACUAUUGUAUCAGAAACACAACAUUGGCUAGAAUCUCAAUUGUAUGAAUAUUCCGAGCAAGUUUCCUCUUAUCAUUAUAAAUAUUAGUCUACUACUUGUUCAGAUAAAUAUAGCUCAUGAAAAAAAAA
rnacentral:lncRNA from 1 species